rnacentral:rRNA from 1 species
AGAAUCUUCCGCAAUGGGCGAAAGCCUGACGGAGCGACACCGCGUGGAUGAUGAAGGUCGAAAGAUUGUAAAAUCCUUUUAUUGAUGAGGAAUAAGCUAGAUAGGAAAUGAUUUAGUGAUGACGUUAGUCAAUGAAUAAGCCCCGGCAAAUUACGUGCCAGCAGCCGCGGUAAUACGUAAGGGGCGAGCGUUGUUCGGAAUUAUUGGGCGUAAAGGGUGAGUAGGCGGUUUAUUAAGUCUAGGAUAAAAUACCAGGGCUCAACUCUGGAAAUAUUCUGGAAACUAAUAAGCUAGAGUCUGAUAGGGGAAGUUAGAACUCCUGGUGUAAGGGUGGAAUCUGUUGAUAUCAGGGGGAAUACCAGAGGCGAAGGCGAACUUCUAGGUCAAGACUGACGCUGAGUCACGAAAGCGUAGGGAGCAAACAG